GGUGCUGCAGUGGUUGUCGUCAGCUCGUGCCGUGAGGUGUCGGUUAAGUCCCAUAACGAGCGCAACCCUUAUCGUUAGUUGCCAGCGGGUAAUGCCAGGAGCUCUAACGAAACUGCCGGUGUAAACCGAGAGGAAGGUGGGGAUGACGUCAAAUCAGCACGGCCCUUAUGUCCAGGGCUACACACGUGUUACAAUGGCCGGCACAGAGGGCAGCUACCUGGAGACAGGAUGCGAAUCUCGAAAGCCGGUCUCAGUUCGGAUCGGAGUCUGCAACUCGACUCCGUGAAGCUGGAUUCGCUAGUAAUCGCGCAUCAGCCAUGGCGCGGUGAAUACGUUCCCAGGCCUU
rnacentral:rRNA from 1 species